rnacentral:rRNA from 1 species
AUCGCAUGGUCUCGUACCGGCGACGGAUCAUUCAAAUUUCUGCCCUAUCAGCUUUCGACGGUAGUGUAGUGGACUACCGUGGCGUUAACGGGUAACGGAGAAUUAGGGUUCGAUACCGGAGAGGGAGCCUGAGAAACGGCUACCACAUCCAAGGAAGGCAGCAGGCGCGCAAAUUACCCAGUCCCGACACGGGGAGGUAGUGACAAUAAAUAACAAUACAGGGUUCUUUUGGAUCUUGUAAUUGGAAUGAGUACAAUUUAAAUCUCUUAACGAGGAACAAUUGGAGGGCAAGUCUGGUGCCAGCAGCCGCGGUAAUUCCAGCUCCAAUAGCGUAUAUUAAAGUUGUUGCAGUUAAAAAGCUCGUAGUUGAAUUUCGGAAUCAAUAUAACGGUUGUGCCUUGGUACGUACUGGUAUCAUUGGUUUCUUCUUUCUGACGAACCAUGAUGUCAUUAAUUUGGUGUUAUGGGAAGUUAGGACUGUUACUUUGAAAAAAUUAGAGUGUUUAAAGCAGGCUUUAGCUUGAAUACAUUAGCAUGGAAUAAUGAAAUAGGACGUUCGAACCUAUUUUGUUGGUUUCUAGGAUCAACGUAAUGAUUAAUAGGGAUAGUUGGGGGCAUUAGUAUUCAAUUGUCAGAGGUGAAAUUCUUGGAUUUAUUGAAGACUAACUACUGCGAAAGCAUUUGCCAAGGAUGUUUUCAUUAAUCAAGAACGAAAGUUAGGGGAUCGAAGACGAUCAGAUACCGUCGUAGUCUUAACCAUAAACUAUGCCGACUAGGGAUCGGAUGAUGUUAAUUUUUUAAUGACUCAUUCGGCGCCUUACGGGAAACCAAAGUGUUUGGGUUCCGGGGGGAGUAUGGUCGCAAGGCUGAAACUUAAAGGAAUUGACGGAAGGGCACCACCAGGGGUGGAGCCUGCGGCUUAAUUUGACCCAACACGGGGAAACUCACCAGGUCCGGACACUUUGAGGAUUGACAGAUUGAUAGCUCUUUCUUGAUUAAGUGGUUGGUGGUGCAUGGCCGUUUUUAGUUGGUGGAUUGAUUUGUCUGGUUAAUUCCGAAAACGAACGAGACCUUAACCUAUUAAAUAGUAUAAUUAAAAUUGAAUGCAAAUUCUUGAAAUUUGAAGAAAAAGAUUGGAUACUUCUUAAAGGAACUCUUCAUAUUUUAGUGAAUGGAAGUUUAAGGCAAAAACAGGUCUGUGAUGCCCUUAGAUGUUCCGGGCUGCACGCGCGUUA